CAGCUCCAUUUAUUGGAGUGCAGAGGAGGAUCUUAAAUUUCCUUGGCAAGCCACAGUUGAAGAUUAAGGUUGUAGUUUCCUCGAAGAAUGUGACGCGAAGAGAAUACAUCGUUAGAUGCUGCGGAAGGCGUUCGUGCACAUCAAAUAUCGUGUAA